rnacentral:rRNA from 1 species
UACGUAGGGCGCAAGCGUUGUCCGGAAUUAUUGGGCGUAAAGAGCUCGUAGGCGGUGUGUCGCGUCGGCCGUGAAAACCUGCAGCUUAACUGUGGGCUUGCGGUCGAUACGGGCAUCACUGGAGUUCGGCAGGGGAGACUGGAAUUCCUGGUGUAGCGGUGAAAUGCGUAGAUAUCGGGAGGAACACCUGAGGCGAAGGCGGGCUACUGGGCCGAUACUGACGCUGAUGCGCGAAAGCCAGGGGAGCGAACGGG